GAUGAACGCUGGCGGCGUGCCUAAUACAUGCAAGUAGAACGCUGAAGGAGGAGCUUGCUCUUCUGGAUGAGUUGCGAACGGGUGAGUAACGCGUAGGUAACCUGCCUGGCAGCGGGGGAUAACUAUUGGAAACGAUAGCUAAUACCGCAUGACAACCGUUCUUCCAUGAUAACCGUUUAAAAGUGGCAACUGCCCCACUACCAGAUGGAGCUGCUGUGUAUUAGCUAGUUGGUGAGGUAACGGCUCACCAAGGCGACGAUACAUAGCCGAGCUGAGAGGGGGAUCGGCCCAACUGGGACUGGGACACGGCCCAGGCUCCUACGGGGAGCAGCAGUAGGGGAUCUUCGGCAAUGGACGGAAGUCUGGCCGAACAACGCCGCGUGGGUGGAGGAGGGUUUCGGGUCGGAAAACUCUGUUGUAAGAGAAGAACGAGUGUGAGAGUAGAAAGUUCACGCUGUGACGGUAUCUAAACAGAAAGGGACGGCUAACUACGUG
rnacentral:rRNA from 1 species